GCUUCUGGAGGAAGAUGUAAGUAUAAAAAUUAUUUAGAGAUAAGAUUAGCCUGGCCCCUGCGCAAGGAUGAUGCGCAAAUUCAGGAAGCAUUCCAUAUUUUU